AACAAACUUCUACGAGUGCCAAUUAAUAGUCUAUAGGCUCAAAAACGUUAACUACGGAUAAAUUUUAUUUGUGAUAAGCAAUAGAGCUCAAAAAAGAUCAAAGAAAGUCUAACAUUAUUUUCAAAUUGAGCAUCACCUAAAAUUUUGCUUUGACUCACAUACGGGGCAAGUUCUAGACUCAAGUACAAUACAUGGACUACACAAAAAUUUCAAUUCACACAUGGCACAUGACUAACUAAGGACGAACCCAUUCCGACUCUCAAACUAAUGUAAGUAUUCACGGAGCCACAAGAUAUUAAGCAUUAAAUACAAAGUGAACAUAAGCCAAGAAAAUGAGAAGUAGGCGUCAUAUAACAUGCUAUCCAAAAAAACAAGGCAUCAUGGACAAUUUUAAGACAUACGGAAGAUUACACAUGCCCAAACCUAAAUAUGCUUCUAUCAAACAAGUCAAGGGCGCCUAGAAAUCUCAUCUAUCUUCCUCUAUUUUUUUUAAAUUCUAAUUUACUCUAAAAAAUUUUAAAAAAACUUUUAUCCGGUUCAAACUACAUCCAAUAAAAAAGAAUCGAGGCACAAAGAAAAAUCACGGGGAAAUUAAUACUACCUAAAAAAUAAAAGACAUUUGGAUUUUCUAUUUUUCAAUUUUUUUUAGGCCUUAGUCCCUCAAGAAAACUGUCUAGGAGAUCCAUCGUCAGGAAAAGUCCAAAUUUUUCUAAUUCUUUUUUCGAUUUUGUGUAUUUAUGCUUUUUUCUUAAUUUUUAUUUUCAAUAUCAAUAAACUACUAGUAAAUUAUUUUUUUUAAAACUACCACUAAUUUACUACACUAAUGUUUUUUUUUCUCCUUUUUCAUUAAGCUAUGCUAAAAAAAUAAAGAGAAAGAAGCUAAUCUAAAAAUUACUAAAUUAUAAUAAAAAUAAAAACUAACAACCAACCUACUAUAUAUAUGCUCCAGAUAAUCCCCCACCCAUACUUAUCUCAUGUAGUGUCCUCAAUGAAUAUAAAAUAAUGAAAAUUAAGUGAGGUGGUAAGAAAAUCUUCCUGGUCACUCCUCAUCAUCGCCCUCAUCAUAGAAGGCCAUAUCAGCAGCUGCCCAAUCUUCAUCAUCAUCUCCUGGCUUAGCAUCCUCCUCAGCUUCAUCCUCAAGCUGCUCUGGCUCGGCCUCUCAAUAUUUGGGCGUGUUGAAAUCUUCGUCCUCAGGUAAUCUCUAGCCCUCACCAAGCCCCACCAGAUGAUGUGCAUGGUAUUGAGCGGGAAGUGCUAACAUAAGUUAGUCCUCUCCUCCUGAGUAGCUGACCUUCCUCCAAUUUGUAGCUGCAAGUAUAACAUCAUAUAGAAAUAGGCCAUAAAGCUAUAAUCAUGAGUAUUGUGCUCGUCACUAGCAGGCGCAAUCAUAUCAUCUCUUUCUUAGGCUGGAUGCUGGUGAUGGCAGUCCCUCGAAGGGUGCUGGGAUGAUUAUAUCAAACUCUAUCUCCUCCUCUACCUCCCCCUUUCUCAGAUAAUUAGUCAACACAUUGCCAAAGAAUAACCUAUCAAACUCUUGCUCUUUCUUACCUAUGCCAUCUGAUGGCGUAUCAAAUGUCCAACUUUCACUUUUUGACCGUUCAUUAGGAAGUAAAGCAAGCACACUUCUCCCGCCAAAUCAGAGUGUCAUGAUUGCACGAUAGCAACCGAGUGUUAAUCAAUUUCAAUCAAACUUGAAACUCCAGAACCGAGUGUUAAUCAAUUUCAAUCAAACUUGAGACUCCAGCUUCAUCUUCUUCUUUUGAAAUUUCCUAUGGCGGCCAGUCUUUUUGUCAUAUACCCAGGCGGCCACAUAAUUGAUACCACAUAAUAUGUGUCUAAGCUAUCGAUAUAUCGGGUAGGAAAUGAAGUUACCCAGGGGAUCAUGUUGAACAUUUGGAGCUCCCAAGUAGUUGCAUAAAGCGGUUGCAGAAAAAUCAAUCAAUCUACCCCGAAUAGGCACAUAUUGCUCCGGAUCAUUUGGAUCAUAUCCUUUAUAAAUAUAGCGAAAGAGGUUAAUAUUAAUAUCCCUAGGGUUCCCAAACACAUAGCUCUACCCAAGCUCAUGAACAAACUUCUAUAUUGCUGGAUACUUAGUACGUAAAUGGCGCUCAUCAACGGCUAGAUCGAGGUGCAUAUGCUUAGGCCGACAAAUCUUAUAUCAUGCCUUGGUAGAUGGGGUAUAGUUUUAAUUCCAUAUUCAUGCUACCCUUGAGGUCUGGGGCGUGAAGCUGCCAUAGCUGCAACUAUCCGUAGUACCUUAUCCUAACUAGAUGUGGCGUCUCCCUCUUUCCGCUUUUUCGGUGGCGGUACAGUGGAUGUCUUCCCUUUGGUGGGGGUAGUAGCUUUGCCCAUUCCUUUAUCAGUUGGUGGUGAAUUUGGUUUUGGCAUACCAUAUUUGUACCUACACAAGUGACUGUUAGUUAACUUUAGAGGGUAUUGAAUUAAUUCGAAACAUGGUCGUACCAUCCACAUUUAAAAGAUUAGCACAUUGUUGUCAACUAAGUCGAGGCUACUCAUACUUCACCUCUUGAAAUUAAGCAAUAAUUGGAGCUGCAAGACAACUAGUUCAUGCAAGAGAACAAUGUAAAUGUCAUACUUGAAACCUUUACCCCGACACCGGUGAGCCACCCAUACUUAAAUCUUAUGAUCGGUAUGCUUACAACCUACUAGUGUAUCAAUCCCGAAGAUUCAGGCUCUAAUUGGGACACAACAUGCCUUUGAGGCAUUUUAUUGAACACAUGAUAUGCACUAGUGUGGUUUAAGAUAUUGUGUGGGUGAGUGAUUGCCUCCACCUCCUAAAUCAACUUGGAAUUCAAGUGUAAACACUCGUAGGAGCAACAAGAAUAAUAUUCUUAUAGGUUUCAUGGGGUUGGGACAAGCAUGCACAAUUUCAUAUUCAAAACAUUCAUAAAUUAUGCUAGGUGCAAUUUUACCUCAAGCAAUCUAAAAAUAAAGGAAGGAGAAGUAAGAAUUCAUUCUAGAUGUUGUAGAGGGAGCAGGAACCUUCAAUUAAUGGUGAUUAUGAGAGGAUGUAGGUGUGAGAAGGGAGUUUGGGGAAGUUAGUUGAGGGAAUGAGAGAAGGGAGAGAGUUGGGCAGUGAGGUUUUGAAGGAUUUGGUCGUGCUUUUGUUUUGUGUUGGUGUGCUUUGUUUUGUGUGUUUUAAAAUGGUGUUAGAGGUUUUAAAAGGAGAGAAGAAGAAAAAUCUUAUCUGGCCUCAGAAGCUGGGACGUAAGGCCUACCGCAAGACAGAUCAUUAAAUGCGAGGUCUAGGGUGAUUAGUAGACCAGGCAGCGCCCGGUGAGGUGCAACAAGUAGGGCACAAUGGAGCGCACGUCGCCAGCUCUGGCGCGAGGGAACGCACAUGCCUAGGCAAGAAGCACUAGCUCUGGCGCGAGGUCAUCUGUGCUUUGGUGCCUAAGGUCCCUUUUUGGGACUCCUUCAUGAAUUUUUGACCUCUCAACAUGCUCUCGUACCUAUUCAACCACCAAAAUCCAACUAAAAACUUGUUAGUAUCGUAAAACAAAGAGAGAGAAAAUCUAAUUAAGCUAAACUAAACUACGAAUAAGGUUCCUCCCAACGAGCCCCUUAGUUAACGUCAUGGCAUGACGAAUACAACAUCAUAAUGGGUUGCCUCCAAUGAAGCACCUGAUUUAACAUUGCACAUGGCUCAAGACAUUCCCUCAAGCAUCCAACAAGUCUAUCGAAGUUUUGUGACAAUGAACGCCACAACCCCAAUAGUGUUUAUCUCUUUUCCUAUUGAAUAAAACAUGCCAUCACUCUUGGGAUCCCGUAGUUUGAUAGCUCCAUGCUUUGUAGCCUGAACUACUUCAAAUGGACGCGUCCAUCUAGACUUGAGCUUCCCAGGAAAUAGCUUCAACCUUGAAUUGAACAAUAGAAUGGCUUGAUUUGGUUCAAACUCACGAUGCAUAAUAUAUUUGUCAUGACAUCUCUUUGUUUUCUCUUUAUACAGCUCUGCAUUCUCAUAAGCAUGAAAUCGAAACUCUUCAAGCUCAUUGAGUUUCAACAUUUGUUUUUCCCCAGUUAGAUCCAUAUCAAAGUUGAGAUUCUUGAUUUCCCAAUAUGCUUCGUGUUCAAGCUCAACGUGCAAGUGACAAGCCUUCCCAUAAACCAACCGACACAGUGAAGUGCCAAUUGUAGUUUUGUACGCAAUUAGAUAUGCCCAUAGAGCAUCACCCAGCUUGAUAUCCCAAUCCUCUUGUUGCGCUCACUGACUUCUCCAAAAUUUGCUUCACCUCCCUAUUCGAAACCUUGACUUGACCAUUGGUUGCGGAUGAUAGGCAGUUGUGACCUUGUGUUUCACACCAUACUUAGCCGAGAGGUUGCCCAAUAAUUUCUUGCAAAAGUGAGUACCUCUAUCAGUAAUCAGAGCAUGCGGAGUUCCAAAUCUCGUGAAAAUGUUUUUCUUCAUUAAGUUCACCACAACCUUAGCAUCAUUCGUAGGAAAAGACACAACCUCAACCGACUUCGACACAUAAUCAACUGCAACCAAGAUGUACCUAUGAGCAUUUGAUGAUGGAAACAACCCCAUGAAGUAUAUUCCCAAUACAUCGAAGAUUUUGACCAACAUUAUGCCCUUCAAUGUCGUCUCAUGCCUCUUUGAAAUCGUUCCCUUUCUUAGGCACAUAUCAUAUCUCUUCACAAAAACAUGUGCAUCCUUGAAUAGAUUGGGCCAAUAAAAUCCCGACUCGAACACCUUUGCAGUUGUUUUGUCUCCACCAUGGUGCCUUCUAUAAGAUGAUGCAUAACAAUCUUGCAAAAUUGCUUCCAUCUCCUCCUUAGGGACACAGUGCCACACCAACUGAUCUGGAUAAUGCUUAAACAAAAUGGCUCAUCCCACAGAUAAAAUCUUACAUCAUGCAUGAAUUUUCUCUUACCAUCUGGUGACAACUCUGACGGAGUCGCCCCACUUACGAUGAAGUUCGCAUAGUCAGCAUACCAUGGGGUUGUGCCAGCUGUGACGGCUAGAAAUUUCUCAUCACAAAAACUUUCCUGAAUUUCACCCCCUUCAUCCAUAUGUGUGCGAGUUUCGAAGUGCGACAAGUGUUCAACUACCUAAUUUUUGGCCCCUUUUCGAUCUCUGAUUUUCACAUCAAAUUCAUACAAAAGAAGAACCCAAUGAAUGACUCUAGGCUUAGGAUCCUUUUUCUCAAACAAAUACUUGAUGGCUGCAUGGUCUGUAUAAACGAUGACUUUAGUUCCCACUGAUGUGUCGUAGAAUUGCGGCACUUUUGAUACUAAUUACAUAGGCUAGAGCUCAUCUUUUAAAGCAUUUUAAGUCAAUUCUUAUGUAGUUUUGGUGUUUUGUAGCAAACUAGACUUGAAGAACCAAGAACAAGGAAAAGAUGACAAAAACUUAUAGAAGGGCAAAAAUGCAGCAGGUAAGCGACUGCAAAAGUGAUGUGUGGGCCUAAAACAAACCGCAGAGUGAAGCGGAUACACCCAACUUUUAGAAUCAAUUUUGCGGUAAAUUUUGUUAUCGCAUAACGCUUGUGCGGACCGCAUAAUGACCGCAGAAGUUCAAAGAGUGUUUUUGCGAGAACAAUUCUGCGGCAUCAAAUGAGACCGGGAAGUCAAUGUGCGGACCACAUAAUGGAUCUGCAAUGGAAAACUGGGCAACUGGACAUUCAAGUAUGCGAUGAAAUUGUAGUUAUGCGGGCCGCAAAAGUGUUUUGCGGCUUGUUCUACAAUCGCAGAUGUGAUUUGCAGGGGUAUUUUUGUUAUAUUUUGACGCUGACUUUUAGUCCAUUAUAAAUAGAAUAACUAGGGUUUUGUGGGCCAUCUUGUCUGGAAAAAAGGCAUUAAAUACACCAUUAUUUUGGAAGCUUUGGAAGAAGAGAAUAUUGUCAUCUUUGUAAGCCUUAUGACUNN
rnacentral:lncRNA from 1 species